CGUAGGUGGCAAGCGUUGUCCGGAAUUACUGGGCGUAAAGGGCGCGUAGGCGGAUAAUUAAGUCAGAUGUGUAAACUGCAGGCUUAACCUGGAGAUUGCAUCUGAAACUGGAUAUCUUGAGUGCAGGAGAGGACAGUGGAAUUCCUAGUGUAGCGGUGAAAUGCGUAGAUAUUAGGAGGAACACCAGUGGCGAAGGCGGCUGUCUGGACUGUAACUGACGCUGAGGCGCGAAAGCGUGGGGAGCAAACAGGAUUAGAUACCCUGGUAGUCCACGCUGUAAACGAUGGGUACUAGGUGUAGGGGGUAUCGACCCCUUCUGUGCCGGAGUUAACACAAUAAGUACCCCGCCUGGGGAGUACGGCCGCAAGGUUG
rnacentral:rRNA from 1 species